CGUUAUUAAUCAGUUUUGUACACAGGCUCAUUACGUCGACCGGAUAACCGUACUCCGACGAGAGUCGCGGAACAAUUUACAACGCACAACGACGCUUUGCAGUAGAAAAAUUGGUGGAGAAUUGUUCCUAGAAUUAUCGAUUUUUAUUUUUGAUAAUACGUAAUAAUAGUAUAUACAAUUCUAUUAU